UACGGAGGGUGCGAGCGUUGUCCGGAAUCACUGGGCGUAAAGAGCUCGUAGGCGGCUUGUCACGUCGGGUGUGAAAGCCCGGGGCUUAACCCCGGGUCUGCAUUCGAUACGGGCAGGCUAGAGUGUGGUAGGGGAGAUCGGAAUUCCUGGUGUAGCGGUGAAAUGCGCAGAUAUCAGGAGGAACACCGGUGGCGAAGGCGGAUCUCUGGGCCAUUACUGACGCUGAGGAGCGAAAGCGUGGGGAGCGAACAGG
rnacentral:rRNA from 1 species